GCAGUUCUGGGUGUAUGAAUAGUCUUCUUCUCCCUCUGUUUCUGUCAGUCUAUAAUGUUCUUCUACUUGUUCCAGCCUGACCUCUGCUAUGUGCUCCUUCGCUCAUCAGCUGUAUAUUUUUUGGGUCAUUUUAAGUUUCUCUGGAUCAGUUUGGAUUAUUCCCUGGACUUCGAGCCGUCUUUUGUUGGCUCUCCUGCCAUCCUGAGUUACAACUUCAACACCAAGGAUGCCUGAGGAUCGUCACAGCUCGGAGAGGUGCUGCUGCACACAUGAGGCAGAGGAAAGAGUCUCUGAUGGGCCGAUUUACUCAUCUCACAAGAACACAACUUGGAAGGAAUUCCUUCUCCUGUCUUUUAUCCCAGCUGUCCUGUCAUCAGAAUACUUCAUGGCACAUUGAUGACCGAUGUUCCUCAGGGAUUUGGAGUUAAG